ensembl:lncRNA
GAAUGGCUAGCAUGAAGAAAAAGCAAAAAGAGAGAGAGCACCUACACAUGUAUGACUUACUGGGAUAUUAGCCAAAGCAGUCAAACAAACAGUUGUUCAACAGAGAUUUCAAAAAGUCUUGCUCCUUUUCAUAACUUCAAAACUGAUGCUACCAGGUUUCAGUGCACAUCGCAUUUCUAAUAAGAAAGGAAACAAGCAAGUGCUGAUGUGUGGCACGUAAUUGCAACAAUUCCGACUACAUUUGUCUAAUGGGGAUGAAUAACGCUUUUCAGCAAGGUAUACACUGAGGAAUAAUGAAAACAGGGCUGAAACGCAUUCCACAACUGGGAUCCUAUCAAACAUAUAUUUAAGUUUCACUUUAAUUUGUUACAGUACACUGUUGAAAU